UACGUAGGUGGCAAGCGUUGUCCGGAAUUACUGGGUGUAAAGGGUGAGUAGGCGGGUCUGCAAGUCAGGUGUGAAAUACUGCGGCUCGACCGCAGAAUUGCAUUUGAAACUACUGAUCUUGAGUGUCGGAGAGGUAAUUGGAAUUCCCAGUGUAGCGGUGAAAUGCGUAGAGAUCGGGAGGAACACCAGUGGCGAAGGCGGGUAACUGGACUGCAACUGACGCUGAGGCGCGAAGGCGUGGGGAGCAAACAGGAUUAGAUA
rnacentral:rRNA from 1 species